rnacentral:rRNA from 1 species
AUUGAACGCUGGCGGCAUGCCUUACACAUGCAAGUCGAACGGCAGCACGGGAGCAAUCCUGGUGGCGAGUGGCGAACGGGUGAGUAAUAUAUCGGAACGUGCCCAGUCGUGGGGGAUAACGUAGCGAAAGCUACGCUAAUACCGCAUACGAUCUAUGGAUGAAAGCGGGGGAUCGCAAGACCUCGCGCGAUUGGAGCGGCCGCUAUCAGAUUAGGUAGUUGGUGAGGUAAAGGCUCACCAAGCCGACGAUCUGUAGCUGGUCUGAGAGGACGACCAGCCACACUGGGACUGAGACACGGCCCAGACUCCUACGGGAGGCAGCAGUGGGGAAUUUUAGACAAUGGGCGCAAGCCUGAUCCAGCAAUGCCGCGUGCAGGAUGAAGGCCUUCGGGUUGUAAACUGCUUUUGUACGGAACGAAACGGCGAGCUCUAAUACAGUUUGCUAAUGACGGUACCGUAAGAAUAAGCACCGGCUAACUACGUGCCAGCAGCCGCCGCAG